rnacentral:rRNA from 1 species
AGCUUUUGACAUGUCCGGUAUGAUUUCCAGAGAUGGAUUUCUUCAGUUCGGCUGGCCGGAACACAGGUGCUGCAUGGCUGUCGUCAGCUCGUGUCGUGAGAUGUUGGGUUAAAGUCCCGCAACGAGCGCAACCCUCGCCCUUAGUUGCCAUCAUUCAGUUGGGCACUCUAAGGGGACUGCCGGGUGAUAAGCCGCGAGGAAGUGGGGAUGACGUCAAGUCCUCAUGGCCCUUACA